CUCCGCGCGCCUGCCCACGCGCUCCGGUACUCGCUGCUCGCGGCUGGCCGGCUCGGGAUUCCGGGCUUUCUUCCCGAGACCGCGUCCCCCAGCUGGGCCGAAGGUGGACGCUCAGGGGCUGGAGGCUCAGCGGAAUCCCCUGCGUUCAGUAGCCCCGCUCUCCCCUGUCCCGAAGGAUUACUCUGCCCCUCAGCGGUUCCAGUGCCCUCAAAGCAAUCUGUCUCUGAAGUACUGGCUAUCUUCUGAGCGUGUGCCAGAAGAUCCAGCUUUGUUGAAAAGCGAAGCCGUUAGUCCCUUAAUACAAAGGAUCAGGGAUAGCAGAAAUGAAAGUAUAAUGGAAGCAGCUGGAGGAUUCCAGGUCCACUUUCACCCAAGUAAUGGAGACGGAAGGUUCAUCGAAACUUCUUCAGCUGCAGAUCUAGAAGUCAUUAGCUAUUCUAGCAAAGUAUCUGUCACAGAAAGGUGCUUCAUAAAGGUCUGCACUGUGCUCUUUUGACCUGUGUCUUCAAGCAUGUGCUGUCAUAACAGAUUAAAGAUGACUGAAAAUUAUCUGCCACUCAUUGCGUGAAAGGUGGGAUCUGUAGACCUCCCUCUUGAAUUUGGGAGGGUUCUGUGACUGCUGUGACCAAUGAAUAUGGCAGAAGUGACGCUUUGCCAACUUCUGGGUCCAGGCUAUACGAGACAGGCAGUUCCACUCACUGUCUCUUAGAUCCAUGUAAAAAGUUCAUCUACCCUGCUGGAAAAACCAUGUAGAGAGGCCCUGAGACUACAUUGGGUGGGAGAGGGGCUCAGCUGCACCAUCUUCCAACUGUCCCCAUCAAGAUGACAGAAAUAUAAAUGAAGCCUUCUUGAACUCCAGACCAUCCAUGCUACAAGCUAAAUGCCACCAAGCGACCCCAGUUAAUACCAUGUGGAGCAAAAAUAUCACUUAACCAAGCACUGCCUGAGUUUCUGACCCCACAGAAUUCUGACCCCAUACAAAUAAAAUAAUUUUUGUAAUUUUUUA
rnacentral:lncRNA from 1 species